rnacentral:lncRNA from 1 species
GUGAUGGAGAUGAUGGUAGUGGUGGUGAUGGAUGGGCAGUGGGAGAAGAAAGGUAGGAGGCAGAAGUUCCUGGUUUCCUGGUCCAGACCCCAUCCUGGGGUAUUCUACGGUAGCCUCUGGUGUUCUGCUCUGGGAAAGGGGACACAUGCUCCAGGGGCUCCCGAGCAGCUAAGAAGUUGCUGGCUUGGGGCCGCCUGGGUUGCCUGUAGGAGGAAUCCUGCAAAGAAAGCGCACAUCAUUCUGGGAGAAGUACCACCGAAACCAGUUCUCCCUGCCCCUCGAGGGUCUCCAUUUUCCCAGUCCACCUCUGCCUGGGACUCCAGAAAGACAAACUUCCGAUGCACCAAGCGACCAGAGCUAGUGCCGGAGGCGGACAUCGUCUCGCAGGGAACCGACCUCAUCACCAAGUCCUUGGGAGAAGCGGGGAGAAAGCUGCUUGGAUGGACCGCGCAUCCAAGGGCUCCGGGACGCCGGCGUGGGAUGGAGAAGAGGGGGACCAGCCUGGCCUGGCCUCCCCUGGGCCCUCCACCUCCUGAGCUGCCAAGCCAGAGCCCGCUGGGCGGGCACAGGCUCCCAAAGGACUGGUUUUCUCUAAGCCUUGGUGUCCGCAUCUGAGCAAUGGGGUAUUGAAGCUGGCUGCGAGGAUGCGCUCGGAGUUGAAUGAGACCAAGGCGCGCACGGGGCUGGACGCUGAACACACGGGCUUUUUCUACGCACAAUAAAUGUGUGUGUGUGUUUUCUCUUCCCGCCUCU